rnacentral:rRNA from 1 species
GACGUAGGGUGCAAGCGUUGUCCGGAUUUAUUGGGCGUAAAGAGCUCGUAGGCGGCUUGUUGCGUCGACCGUGAAAACCCGCGGCUUAACCGCGGGCUUGCAGUUGAUACGGGCAGGCUAGAGUUCGGUAGGGGAGACUGGAAUUCCUGGUGUAGCGGUGAAAUGCGCAGAUAUCAGGAGGAACACCGGUGGCGAAGGCGGGUCUCUGGGCCGAUACUGACGCUGAGGAGCGAAAGCGUGGGGAGCGAACAGG